GCGGACGUUGUAUAACGGUAUUACUCAAGCUUCCCAAGCUUGUAACGCGGGUUCGACUCCCGUCGUCCGCU
rnacentral:tRNA from 1 species